UACACUCCUGCGGGAGGCAGCAGUGGGGAAUAUUGCACAAUGGGCGCAAGCCUGAUGCAGCCAUGCCGCGUGUAUGAAGAAGGCCUUCGGGUUGUAAAGUACUUUCAGCGGGGAGGAAGGCGAUAAGGUUAAUAACCUUGUCGAUUGACGUUACCCGCAGAAGAAGCACCGGCUAACUCCGUGCCAGCAGCCGCGGUAAUACGGAGGGUGCAAGCGUUAAUCGGAAUUACUGGGCGUAAAGCGCACGCAGGCGGUCUGUCAAGUCGGAUGUGAAAUCCCCGGGCUCAACCUGGGAACUGCAUUCGAAACUGGCAGGCUAGAGUCUUGUAGAGGGGGGUAGAAUUCCAGGUGUAGCGGUGAAAUGCGUAGAGAUCUGGAGGAAUACCGGUGGCGAAGGCGGCCCCCUGGACAAAGACUGACGCUCAGGUGCGAAAGCGUGGGGAGCAAACAGGAUUAGAAACCCGGGUAGUCCA
rnacentral:rRNA from 1 species